GCGUCUCCUGCCCAGCUGCUCUGCUUCUGCAGCAGGGAAGAGUUACAUUCCUCUUGGUUUUUUAGCUAGUUUUUUGCUCGUUAGCUAAAGCAUGAAGCCCUGGGACUUUGGUUUCUUUUUCUUCUCUUUUGGAACUGUUUAGAACACCGGAACAUCAUCGGGAUACCCUACAUCAUUGGCCCGGAGGGGGCCCACGCCAAACCCCAGCUCCGGAGAGGAAAAAGCCACACCCACAAAGGACUUUGAAAUCUACCCAGGUUCUCUCCACAGCAAGAGGUUUCAUUAUUUAGCAUUAUUCUUUUUCUUUCCCGUGUCUGCAUGCACUUUACUUAUUAAAUAAACAGGUGUUUUUUUCACUUUCCUCCGAGGGAAAUUCUUUCCAAACCUGGUGGAGGAAUGGGAUGGCUGUAACCUGCCUUCUAUCAGAGGACGCUCAUUUCGGAUGUUCCUCCAAAUUUGUCUCAAAUCGGGUUGGCUUUUCUGAGAUCUGGGAGCAAGAUAGUGCAGCCCCUCAGCUUCCUGGCCAUCCCCCAGCCAAUUCUUCUCCCGUCAAUUCUCCAAUCUUGGACCAAAACCAACCUGAACAGUUCAGGAAAAAAAACAAAGGCCACUGAAGGAUUGCUGUCACAGUCUCCAAGGCCGGGAAAAGGAAAAAAACUUCUUGCCUAAGCUAACAAAAAACCAACGAAACAAGCCUUUCUGAAGCUCAUAGAGAAGCACAAGUACCUGAAGCAACACACAGCGUGCCUUCUGCAGUAUCCAGUCACCACGAUUCGGGAAGGAAUUUACUCUGGAAAUAGGGCAGAAGAUGAGAGCAUCACCACCCUGGACUGGUGUUAGCCUGUCACGUGUGUCACAAGCAUAGUGAAGGUCACAGACAGCAUGGAUCAUUCUCUGUGGAAAAAAAGAUGCUCCUGUCACACUCAUCAUAGUACAUUCUUUCUUUUGCUUUUUUUCCAAGCAGUCUGCCACAGCACACAGAGGAAAUGGAGAUGGCCUUGAUGAUCUUAAAGGCCUCUUCCAACCCUGAUGAUUUCGUAAGUGCAUCAUGAGCAGAGGUUCUCAGGUAGCAACUCCUUUAUGCUCACACAUUUAGACAAUCAAGUAUCAGCAAAGUAGCAUGAGAAAGCACAGGGGUUUCUGGCAAGGGGAACUGCAAAAGAAAGGUCAAAUCUUUGCACAGAAGAUGCUGAGCUCCUUACAAAAAAAUUAAUCAAUCUGAUAAUGCCAGGGUUCCUUUUUCAUGUUUCAAAAUAAAAGCACCGUUUGGAUGCUGAACUUUUUGCAGGAGCCUGCUCACUGCAAUACCUCUACAAGUGCAGCACAAUGGCAGAGCUGAGGCACAACAGCCAAGUCUGUAUCUGCUUGCAGGUGUUGCAAUCGUUUGUUCCCACAUACUACCCAUGAACAAGGAGAAAAUUUAUUCAGCAAGAAAGAUGCAAUUUUUGGCUAUUUACUUCUCUUCAGCAUUUGGGUGGUGGCAUGGGACUGCCAUGAAGUAUAGCAUAGAGCUCUUCUGGAGACAUCCUGUUUGCUUGCAGUGCUGAAAAAAACCCCAACACUGCAACAGAGCCAGUAAUGAAGGAUUCUUAAAACUUGUAUUUUUAUUAGAUGCUGAGUUCAUGUUGUUGAAUCUUCCAGGCAGCCAGAUGGUGACAGUGAAUUAUGGAUUCAGUUAGGAAAAUCCUGUGAUUUUCAGUGCAAGUCAUGUGCCUGAAGUAAUUUAGGUUUGGAAACUGACUGGUCACACCACAAGCAGUAUUUGUUGAGUCACAGGUCCAGAUGCACAUGAACAUGUAAACCAUGGCUCUGUUCAGUUCUGUUUCUGAAGCUGCAGUCACAACAUCAGUAGCUUAAGCUUUUUGAAGACUUAACAGUCCUAAUGACUAACCUGUGCAUUUGGCAGCAACUCUACUCCUCCACAUUCAUAGGAUGCUUGUGGAUACAAUAUUGCUGCUAGCAAGAAUUUUUAUUGCUUCUUUCUAAGCCCGUGAGUUACUCUUCUCUCUCACGAAGAUAUUUGCAGAAGUUCUGUAAACUAUGAACACCUGCGACCUUGUAGAACUAUGUUUAUGGUACAGUAGAAAAAUAUUUUGACAAUGG